AUUGAACGCUGGCGGCAGGCCUAACACAUGCAAGUCGAGCGGAUGAAGGGAGCUUGCUCCUGGAUUCAGCGGCGGACGGGUGAGUGAUGCCUAGGAAUCUGCCUGGUAUUGGGGGAUAACGUCCGGAAACGGGCGCUAAUACCGCAUACGUCCUGAGGGAGAAAGUGGGGGAUCUUCGGACCUCACGCUAUCAGAUGAGCCUAGUUCGGAUUAGCUAGUUGGUGGGGUAAAGGCCUACCAAGGCGACGAUCCGUAACUGGUCUGAGAGGAUGAUCAGUCACACUGGAACUGAGACACGGUCCAGACUCCUACGGGAGGCAGCAGUGGGGAAUAUUGGACAAUGGGCGAAAGCCUGAUCCAGCCAUGCCGCGUGUGUGAAGAAGGUCUUCGGAUUGUAAGGCACUUUAAGUUGGGAGGAAGGGCAGUAAGUUAAUACCUUGCUGUUUUGACGUUACCAACAGAAUAAGCACCGGCUAACUUCGUG
rnacentral:rRNA from 1 species